GACGAACGCUGGCGGCGUGCUUAACACAUGCAAGUCGAACGGAAAGGCCCUGCUUGCCGGGUGCUCGAGUGGCGAACGGGUGAGUAACACGUGGGUGAUCUGCCCCUUACUUUGGGAUAAGCCUGGGAAACUGGGUCUAAUACUGGAUAGGACCAUGCUGUAGGUGGUGUGGUGGAAAGAUUAGUUUCGGUAAGGGAUGAGCUCGCGGCCUAUCAGCUUGUUGGUGGGGUAAUGGCCUACCAAGGCGUCGACGGGUAGCCGGCCUGAGAGGGUGGACGGCCACUUUGGGAAAGAAAUACGGCCCAAGCUCCCACGGGGGGCGGCAGGGGGGAAGUUUGCCGAAUGGGGGCAGGCCUGGUGCAGGGCAGCCGCGGGGGGGAUGACGGCCUUCGGGUUUUAAACUCCUUUCAGCCAGAACGAAGCCCUUGUGGUGACGGUGGUGGUAAAAGAAGCACCGGUUAACUACGU
rnacentral:rRNA from 1 species